UACGGGGGGGGCAAGCGUUGUUCGGAAUUACUGGGCGUAAAGGGCUCGUAGGUGGCCAACUAAGUCAGACGUGAAAUCCCUCGGCUUAACCGGGGAACUGCGUCUGAUACUGGAUGGCUAGAGAUUGGGAGAGGGAUGCGGAAUUCCAGGUGUAGCGGUGAAAUGCGUAGAUAUCUGGAGGAACACCGGUGGCGAAGGCGGCGUUCUGGACUGUAACUGACACUGAGAAACGAAAGCCAGGGUAGCAAACGGG
rnacentral:rRNA from 1 species